rnacentral:rRNA from 1 species
GUGAGGAAUAUUGGUCAAUGGGCGAGAGCCUGAACCAGCCAAGUCGCGUGAAGAAAGAAGGAUCUAUGGUUCGUAAACUUCUUUUGCAGGGGAAUAAAGUGCGGGACGUGUCCUGUUUUGUAUGUACCCUGAGAAUAAGGAUCGGCUAACUCCGUGCCAGCAGCCGCGGUAAUACGGAGGAUCCGAGCGUUAUCCGGAUUUAUUGGGUUUAAAGGGUGCGUAGGUGGUUUGAUAAGUCAGCGGUGAAAGUUUGCAGCUUAACUGUAAAAAUGCCGUUGAAACUGUCGGACUUGAGUGUAAAUGAGGUAGGCGGAAUGCGUGGUGUAGCGGUGAAAUGCAUAGAUAUCACGCAGAACUCCGAUUGCGAAGGCAGCUUACUAAGCUACAACUGACACUGAAGCACGAAAGCGUGGGGAUCAAACAGGAUUAGAAACCCUUGUAGUCC